UCUCCUCCCUGGCACCCCUCGGGUUCCUGCACCUCACCUUCACCACCUGCAGCCAGCCGGGCCUCUCUGGCGGGGGCGCUCACAGCCCCCCUCCUCCAAGCUCUCCACUACCCCUUCCCGAGGCGGGAGGGACUGUGCCGCUGCGUACGGGUUUGUCCAACGCCGGCUACCACUACACACGCACAGAGAAAACUGCCUUCUCCCAUCCCUCCAAGAAAACAACCCAACAAAAAUCAAGAUACAACAACGUAGACUCGGGACCGGUUAACAGCUCCAUUGGAAGGGGACCAUGGAAGUCUUGGACGAUCUGCUUGCUAGCGGCUCCGAGUCCCGCUUUAAGCUCCGCUCUUUGCGGUGUGGCUGAAAGUUAACGUAAACGGGUCUGUUGCGGUCCCUGACCUCUGGACUGCACAGAGGCCACAGUCGUUUUCUGGAGGUCGCUUUCCAGGGCCGACCCGACAGCCGGCCAAGGAGGAGAGCGCCGCUGGCCGUUUGGGUUUACUAUGCAUUCUAGGGCUGCAUCGCCCCGUUUUCAAGCAGCAAGCUCUCGGCCUGGGUUUGGAACGGGGAGAGAACUUGGAACGGGGAAUAUAUAGUUGCAUACCUUUUUUUCCCUCGA